GAAAUAUUAGUUAAUCCAUAAUAUUAGCUUGUCAAGCUAAAGUUACCUUCCCGGUAUUUUUCU
rnacentral:tRNA from 1 species